UCCCUGGAGGACUAGUGGUUAGGCCUCGGUGCUCCCACAGCUGGGGCCCGGGAUUGAUUCCUGGCCAGGGAA